ACACACACACACACACACACACACACACACACACACACAUGGGAUCUCAGGGCAAAUGGUUUGCAUGGAUCUCGUGCCUUCCAAACACCUCCUGUUGCCCUAAAUAUCUUGUAAUGAAAGGCGCGGCCUCGGUAAUCCGUGACGGAAGGCAGUUUCAUGCUAGUUUAGCUUCCAUCACCUGUGUCGCUCCCUCCACCGCCCCACCGAGACAAGCCCUCGUCUCCGGCGCACUCGUCCUCCGUCGUCCUCCGUCGUCCCGUUUUUCCUUUUGCAGAGAAACCGCACGGGUCGUCUACACGUAAAACACGUCUCGUCGAGGUAAAUGAGGAUGAUUUUUUUGGUAUGGUUGCUCAUGCGAGCGUUUUAUUGUGAAAAAAGUAAGAUGCAGGUGUUUGAGUGUCCUCCAAAGCGGCCUGAAGAGAAGCCGCAUACGGCCAGUCCCUCUGAUUUCCUGUUAACGGUGUUUGUGUUGCGUCUUUUCGGCGAGCGAGACGCUGAUGAAGGUGGAUGGCAGCAGACAGCGGCUCGGAGCCUCGGCCCUCCGAGGAAGACCCUCUCACGCGUUCUGGCAGCCCUUCCAACAGAAUGGAUGAUUCUGGAACAGCAGCUCCCUCUUCACCUCGUGCCAAGACAUUUACAAUUCAAACAUGGACCAAGGAUUAACCUUGAUGCCGCGGCCUGGAGGGAGUUACUGCUGUGACUUGUUUCAUCUGGCGGAGGAGGAAAGAAGAUGACACCGCAACGCUGCUGCAGAUGCAAAACGCCUUCAGGCUUCAGGAGCUUGGGAUUCAACUGCCCUCCCUAAAAUUGAAAACCUCAUCAGGAGAUAAUUCUGGGAGCUGCCACAAUGCCAGCUAUGUGCCGCUGUCACCUUAUCUUAGGGGCCUUUUGCGGCCCGCUGCUCCCGUCCGCGGAGCCCCGGGGAAGACAGCUUAGUACCCGUUGUGGCUCCAGCGGCAGAGCAGAGCAGGCCGGUGGAGAUCACUCACUUUAAUAGGCCUGUCACAUCUGUUUUUAGAACCUGGGGAGGUCUCCUGCUGCCGGCCUCCAUGUGAAGUGACCCCAAAAAGGAUGUGACAAGUCGGGAUGAGCUCGGGGAGGCCAGAGGAGCAAGGCAAAGGGAUUAGAUACAGGGUGAAAAAAUAAAAGGGGGUAAAAUACAAAUUCUAAAGUCUAGAGAUUAUAACAUAUAUAUAUAUUUUUUUUAUUCUGAAUAAUCGUGGGCGAUUUUCUUAGUAAAAGGAAGUAAAGCGGUGCCUACGUUUGCUGAAGGCAAACCGGUUGAGGAAGAUUUUCAGCCUUUGUUAAGGUGUCCCUCGUGAUUACACGCCGCUAUCACUUGAUGCCCCGCCCCCUACGGCGGAUCGGGGCCAAAAGGGAGAAAAAAUACGGAAGUGAAUCUGAAAAUAUAAAAGCUGCGCCUGAAAAUUCGUAACCCUCAAAUAU